rnacentral:tRNA from 1 species
UGGCUUAGUUGGUAAAGAAUCUGCCUGCAAUGCAGGAGACCUGGGUUCAAUCCCAG